rnacentral:rRNA from 1 species
AUUGAACGCGGGCGGCAGGCCUAACACAUGCAAGUCGAGCGAGCGGCGGACGGGUGAGUAAUGUAUGGGGAACUGCCCGAUGGAGGGGGAUCACUACUGGAAACGGUAGCUAAUACCGCAUACUAUCGGAUGAACCCAGAUGGGAUUAGCUAGUAGGUGGGGUAAAGGCUCACCUAGGCGACGAUCUCUAGCUGGUCUGAUAGGAUGAUCAGCAAAACUGGGAGUGAGACACGGUCCAGACUCCUACGGGAGGCAGCAGUGGGGAAUAUUGCACAAUGGGCGCAAGCCUGAUGCAGCCAUGCCGCGUGUAUGAGGAAGUCCUUAGGUUUGUAAAGUACUUUCAGCGGGGAUGCGUUACCCGCAGAAGAAGCACCGGCUAACUCCGUGCCAGCAGCCGCGGUAAUAC